GGCCCGCACAAGCGGUGGAGCAUGUGGUUUAAUUCGAUGCAACGCGAAGAACCUUACCUACUCUUGACAUCCAGAGAACUUAGCAGAGAUGCUUUGGUGCCUUCGGGAACUCUGAGACAGGUGCUGCAUGGCUGUCGUCAGCUCGUGUUGUGAAAUGUUGGGUUAAGUCCCGCAACGAGCGCAACCCUUAUCCUUUGUUGCCAGCGAUUCGGUCGGGAACUCAAAGGAGACUACCGGUGAUAAACCGGAGGAAGGUGGGGAUGACGUCAAGUCAUCAUGGCCCUUACGAGUAGGGCUACACACGUGCUACAAUGGCGUAUACAAAGAGAAGCGACCUCGCGAGAGCAAGCGGAACUCAUAAAGUACGUCGUAGUCCGGAUUGGAGUCUGCAACUCGACUCCAUGAAGUCGGAAUCGCUAGUAAUCGUAGAUCAGAAUGCUACGGUGAAUACGUUCCCGGGCCUUGUACACACCGCCCGUCACACCAUGGGAGUGGGUUGCAAAAGAAGUAGGUAGCUUAACCUUCGGGAGGGCGCUUACCACUUUGUGAUUCAUGACUGGGGUGAAGUCGUAA
rnacentral:rRNA from 1 species